rnacentral:snoRNA from 1 species
UUGCACGGCGAACACCCAGGGAUGCUCUGUGGCUCUCCCUGGUCUCUCAUGUCUGUGCCACAGCGACUCUGGUCAUUUCCUCUGCAUUCUGAGAGUCUCCGUCUCUCCUGCAUGUAUUCAGAUGACCAGAACAAAC